rnacentral:rRNA from 1 species
CUGUCACUUAUAGAUGGAUCCGCGCUGCAUUAGCUAGUUGGUAAGGUAACGGCUUACCAAGGCAACGAUGCAUAGCCGACCUGAGAGGGUGAUCGGCCACACUGGAACUGAGACACGGUCCAGACUCCUACGGGAGGCAGCAGUCGGGAAUCUUCCGCAAUGGGCGAAAGCAUGACGGAGAAAGGCCGCGUGAGUGAUGAAGGUCUUCGGAUCGUAAAACUCUGUUAUUAGGGAAGAACAUAUGUGUAAGUAACUGUGCACAUCUUGACGGUACCUAAUCAGAAAGCCACGGCUAACUACGUGCCAGCAGCCGCGGUAAUACGUAGGUGGCAAGCGUUAUCCGGAAUUAUUGGGCGUAAAGCGCGCGUAGGCGGUUUUUUAAGUCUGAUGUGAAAGCCCACGGCUCAACCGUGGAGGGUCAUUGGAAACUGGAAAAC